rnacentral:lncRNA from 1 species
ACGAUGAAAACGGAAGAUGUCAAAUGUGUGACAUAAAAAAAGAUAAUGCUGUAUAUCAUAUUAUUAAUGUAUAUACACAUACACCAAACAACGGUACCGAUAGAAAGACUUUUUACGAAAAUUUGCGUAACUUAAAUAAAGUGUAUGACGAUGAUAGCGUUGAACACUACACCGUAUUAUUAGGAGACUUUAAUUGUACUUUAGACAAAAAAAUAGACAGAAUGCCAUCACAUCAAAAUAAUGACGUCGGUACAAUUGAAUUAAAAAAUCUUUUAUUGAGAUAUGAAUUAGAUGAUGUAUGGAGAUCUCGAUUUCCAGAUACAAAACGUUAUACGUUUCAAAGAGGAAACUCGAAGUCUCGUAUUGAUUUUAUUUUCUGCAGCAAAUCUUUGAAUAGUAAAAUAUUUAACACUCGUAUAUCUCAUUUCCCAUUUAGUGAUCACGAAAUAGUUACAUCAAAAAUUAAACUAGAUGAUAUAGAAAGAGGGCCG